UUGAGGGUUUCGUCUGACAUGAGGCCUUCUUUGCCUCCCUACAGACACUGCAUUGGUUUCCCCUUCCUUUUUCUUGGCAAAACCGCUACCAUAUUUCCUACUGGAUGACACCUCUUCCUUGGAUAGACGUCCCUCACGGACUCCUUCCUCUAGCUUCAUCCCCAGGUUUACCAUUUUGGUAAUGUCGCUGGAGGCACUAGCAAUCAUGCAUUCGUAAUAAAACGAACUCAGGGUCUUUAGG
rnacentral:lncRNA from 1 species